CGGAGCUUUCUUCAUCUUCUUCUUCUGAUCCCUUCUCUCUCACUUUCCCUCCUCUGAACCCAAAAUCUCUCUUUCUCCUUACCCAGAAAUCCUAAUCCAAACCACGAUUUCUUUCCCAACCUACACCCACCAUCUCUCUCUAUCUACCACCCAUGGGCCAAAGAUUGAGUGGCUUGAAGCGGAAGCGGGAGACUGAAUCCGAGGACCAAAACCAGGCUCGCAAGGUUCUCGUCGUCCAAGACCCAAACAAAGAAGUCCAAUCAAACUCAACCACAAGAUCCACCUCGUCAUCUUCUUCAUUUGGUUGGGAUUACGACGUCUUCCUGAGUUUCAGAGGUGAAGACACUCGCAGAAACUUCACCGAUCACCUUUUCUCCGCCUUGGUAGAAGCUGGAAUUCGUACUUUUCGAGAUGAAGAGGACCUUCGAAGAGGUGAGAACAUCUCUACCGAACUACGCAAUGCAAUUCAGGGAUCAAGAAUUUCCAUUGUGGUAUUUUCCGAAGGCUAUGCUUCUUCAAGGUGGUGCCUUGAUGAGCUUGUGGAGAUUGUGCACUGUAGAAAUACCAUAGGCCACACUCUUCAUCCCAUAUUUUAUCACGUGGAUCCCUCACAUGUCCGAAACCAGAUCGGAACUUUUGCCACAGCAUUUGCUAGUCAUGAAAAGCGAUUUUCGACUGAUAUAGAGAGGGUGAAGAGUUGGAGAGCAGCUCUUUUUGAAGCUGCGAAUUGUUCCGGUUGGGAUCUCAAAAGCGUUGCAAAUGGGUAUGAAUCAAGAUUCAUCAAAAAGAUUGUUGAAGAAGUUUCAAGUAAUGUGAACCUCGCUCUCUUGGAUGUUGACAUACACCCAAUAGCAAUGAAGUCUCGUGUUGAUGAUAUUAAAGGUUUAUUAAAUCUUGGAACAAGUGAUGUUCGCAUUGUGGGCAUUUACGGAAUGGGUGGUAUUGGUAAAACAACCCUAGCAAAAGCUGUUUACAAUGAAAUAUGUGAUGCAUUUAAUGGAAAUAGCUUUCUUUCAAACCUUAAAGAAAGUUCAGAAAAGCCUGAUGGCUUAAUCCACUUACAAAAUCAACUUAUUUCUGAUAUCUUGAAAACGUAUUCGUUUUCGAAGAUUGUGAAUGUUGAGAGAGGAACCAAUAUAAUUCAACGUAGAAUUCAUGGAAAAAAGGUUCUUGUUAUUCUUGAUGAUGUGGAUGACUUUGAAAACCUAGACAUGUUAGUCAAAAAGCACUGGCUUGGUCCAGGAAGUAGAAUCAUUAUAACAACCAGAGAUGAACAUUUGCUAACUCAAUUGGAGGUAGAUGAAAAAUAUGAAGUACGAGAAUUGAAUCAUGGGGAGUCUCUUCGAUUGUUCAGUUGGCAUGCCUUCAAGAUGAACAACCCAAGAAGAGAGUACUCAGAGCUAUCGAUUGAAGUAGUGGAUUAUGCUGGAGGACUUCCAUUAGCUCUUAAGGUUUUGGGUUCUUUUCUUAAAGAAAGAACCAUUGCUGAAUGGAAAAGUGGAUUGGAAAAAUUACAAAGAACUCCUAAUGAAAAGAUUCAAAAAAUACUUGAAAUAAGUUUUGAUUCAUUGGAUAGCCAUACAAAGAAAAUAUUCCUUGAUAUUGCAUGUUUCUUUGUCGAUAUGGACAAAGAAUACACUUUCAAAAUACUUGAUGGUUGUAAUUUCUUUCCAGAGAGUGGUAUCCCUAUUCUCUUUCAAAGGUCACUUGUGACAAUUGAUUACCGAAAUAAGUUGAAGAUGCAUAAUCUGAUUCGAGAUAUGGGAAGAGAAAUUGUUUGCAAAGAAUCACCCAAUUAUCCAGGAAAACGCAGCAGGUUGUGGUUUUACGAGGAUGUCUUAAAUGUACUAAACAAACUUACGGGUUCAAAGAAAGUUGAGGGUCUCAUCUUAAAUCCCCUGCUACUUGAAGAUGUAGAAGUAUUGAAAACUAAAGCAUUUAAAAAAAUGACAAAUUUGAGAUUACUCCAAAUCAAUGAUGUACAACUUACAGGAUCCUAUGAAUAUCUCUCCAAAGAGUUGAAGUGGCUUUGUUGGCAUAAGUGCCCUUUAAAAUCUCUCCCGCAAGAUUUUCAUCUGGAGAACCUUGUUAUUCUUGAUAUGCAGCAUAGUAAAGUCAAACGAGUUUGGAAGAAGAAUAAAAUUUUUAACAAGUUGAAGAUCCUUAAUCUUAGCAAUUCCAAAUAUCUCACUAGAUCACCAGAUUUCUCACGAGUCCCACAACUGGAGAUACUAAUACUUGAAGGUUGCACAAGCUUGGUUCAGGUUCAUGAGUCCAUUGGAUAUCUCAAAAGACUUGUUUUAUUAAAUUUAAAGAAUUGCACAAACUUGAAGUACAUUAAUCCAAGAAGCAUUUUUAACUUAGAAUCUCUUGACUUGUCUGAUUGCUCAACAUUCGAAAAAUUAUCGGAGCAAAUACAAUCCUCAUUUGGUCUUUUGAUGAAUCUCAAAAUUGCAUCAUUUUCUGGAUGUAGUGGUCUCAUCGAAUUACCAAACUUACAUGCCCCACAUUUGGAAAGUCUGGAACUUGAAGGUUGUACAAGCUUGGUUCAGAUUCAUGAGUCCAUUGGACAUCUCAAAAGACUUGUUUCAUUGAAUUUAAAGAAUUGCACGAAGUUGAAGCACCUUCCAAGAAGCAUUGUUGACUUAGAAUCUCUUGAAACCCUUGACUUGUCUGGUUGCUUGAUAUUUGAAAAAUUACCGAAUCAACAACCAUCCUCCUUUGGUCUUUUCAUGAAUCUCAAAACUGCAUCAUUUUCAGGAUGUAGUAGUCUCAUCGAAUUACCAAACUUCUCACAUGCCCCACAUUUGGAGAGUCUGAAUCUUAAAGGUUGUACAAGCUUGGUUGAGAUUCACGAAUCCGUUGGAUUUCUAAAAAGACUUGUUUCGUUGAAUUUAUGGAAUUGCCAGAAGAUUAGGAGUCUUCCAAGUAGCAUUUCUAACUUGGAAUCUCUUGAAAUUCUCGAGUUGUUUGGUUGCGAUAAUCUUGAAAAGUUACCGGAGAAUUUGGGAAAAAUGAAGGCUUUAAAAAGUCUUAUGGUGGACUUCACUGCUAUUAAGCAACUACCAUCUUCCUUUAGCCUUUUGGAGAAUCUCGAGUAUUUAAGUUUUGUUGGUUGUAAUCGUCUCAUUAACUCACCAGAGUUCUCACAAAUCUCACGUCUAAAGAAACUGAAUUUUUUUGUUUGUAGAAGCUUGGUUAAGAUUCACGAGUCUAUUGGACAUCUAAAAAGACUUGAAGUACUUGAUCUCAGUAAUUGCAAUUUGUCUGAUGAUGAGAUUCCCAUUGAAUUUGGAUAUUUAUCUUCACUCCAAACAUUGCGGUUAUCAAGAAACAAUUUUCAUAACCUACCUAGUUGCAUCAGCCGCCUUCCUAAAUUAGAGAGUUUGCGAUUGAGUGAGUCUACUAAUCUUCAAUCAAUUUCAGUUCCUCGUAGUAUAAGAUUUUUGGCAGCAAAUGGCUGCACGUCAUUGGAAAGCAUCUCAAUUCUGACGAAUGAUAGUUCAGAAUCUUCUUACCUUGAUGAUCUCGACUUGCACGGUGAGACUUACUCAUCUUUUGACCUUAAUAAUUGCUCCAAACUGGUUGAGAUUCAAAAUUUGGGGAGUUUGCGAUGUGUACCUUGUACGUUUAGAAUGGGAGGGUGCAACAACCUAUCAUCUGAGUUUAGGAAGAGUGUUUUCCAGAUGAUGAGCAAGACAGGCAACAGUGUUGGGGAAGUUCUCCUCCCCGGAAGUGAGAUUCCAAAUUGGAUUAGCCAUCAGACAAUCGGUUCUUCAAUAUCCUUUUGUGAACCUUCGCUUUUGGAUGGUAAAAUCGGAGGCAAAAUGCUUCUUAGCGUUGUUUAUGCAGUAAAAAAGGAAGCACCCAGAGAGAUAUUUGCUCAACGGCGUGACUUAAGAUGGAGAAUGAGAUUACGUAAUAAAAGUUAUAGAGACCGGUCCAACAACUGGGAUGACUGGGAUACCGUGGGAGAUUUUUAUCGGGUUAUACCAGAAGGACCAGAUUUUGAUAUCUUUGAAGAUCAUAUAGCUGCACAAGUGAGUCAUGACAAUCGUUGGGCACCAGAUAUUAGCAGUCAGAUGAAAAGUGGAGAUGAAAUAGAGGUGGCUGUCGAUCUACAAUUGUGGGGCCCAGGAUUUGAUCAUAUGGACAUUAUGUGUGGAAUUGAUCAGCAAAUUAUGGAAGUGAAGAGGUGUGGAAUUCAUUUUGUAGUUGAUGAGCAUGAGCCAAAUGUAAGAGAUGACGAGAUCUCUGAAAGUGAGGAUUGACGAUUAUAGCGAUCCCUCACCAAAUUGACAGCACAAUCCCCCACCCCCCAAAUAUAUGGUAGCCGGAUAUCCCUUCCGUGCAGGAUGCGUUUGCCAUUGGUGAUUGCAGUGGGUUUCUUGAAAGUACUGGAAAGCCAAACCUUCCAGCUUUGGCUCAGGUGCAGAAGUUUAAGAUUGCAUGUGACAAAUUGGUAAUUGCUUUGGGGGCACAGCCCUAAACUUUUGGAAUCCACGGGGUGAAAGAACAUGCGAUUUUUCUUUGGGAAUUUUACCAUAUAUGCCCAGGAAAUUCGUAGGAAGCUGCUCCUAAACAUGAUGCUGUCUGAAUAGCCUGGCAUUUCAGAGGAAGAGAAAAGCAGACUUCUACACUGUGUUGUGUUGUUGUGGGAGGUGGUCCCACGGGAGUUGGAUUCAGUGGUGAACGAAGUGAUUUUAUCAUGUGAGAUGUUCGCCAAAGAUACGCGCAUGUGAAAGACUACGUCCAAGUUACUUUGAUUCAGGUGGAAGGUUAGUUACUAGUUCUUUUUGACUCAUGGCAAUGCAUUUCUACAUCAUUCCCAGUCCCAUACGAGAUCUCUCCAACUCUUGGGACAAUUGGCUGGGAAAUUCUGGAAAAUUGGAUUUCAGUACUUGUAUGGUAUUUAGGAUUGGUGUUGACGAGUGGUUAAUUAUGCGUUCCUUCCGUGCAGGAUGUGUUUGCCAUUGGUGAUUGCAGUAGGUUUGUUCAAAGUACUGGAAAACCAACCCUUCCAGCUAGCUUUGGUUCAGGAUUGGUAAAGUUGGUGGAGGUCGUGCCAAUGGUGGAAAUGGCAUGAAUCUGGGAGAUCCAUUUGUUUUCAAGAAUCUAGGAAGCAUGGCUACCAUUGGCAGAUACAAGGCUCUCGUAGAUCUUAGGCAGAGCAAGGAUUUUGUCAGUUGGUUUACUUGGCGCUCAGCAUAUCUGAUUGACUCGUGUUAUAAGCUUUUAUGUGGCAAUCAACUGGCUUACAACCUUCGUGUUUGGUCGUGAUAUUAGCAGAAUCUAGAUUUCGAAAUUAGUCAUGGCAUGUUUCCUUGGGAUAUAUUGAGAAGAGUGCAAACGGCUAUGUCGCCACAUCUGUCGUCUCCCCAUGUACAUCUUCAUGGUGUGAGUCCAUUUGAAUUCGAAGAUGAUAGAUAUCAAAUCAUGGACGUUUUUCUGGCACGAGGCCUAAAGUGAAAAAAAAAAAAAAAAAAAAAAAAAAAAAACAGUGAACAUGUCUAGGAUGAAUACCUAUUAUUGGGGUACGGUGCUGCUUAUUUUGCCUCCAAAUCAUAAGCGUUACAAACACAGAGACUAGACAAAGUUAAAUAUCGCUCAAACAAUGCAGAAUUGCUUCGAUAUUUUUUUACUAUUUGAAGCGAAUGCAGGCUAAGA